GAAUUGCAGAAUUCCGCGAAUCAUCGAGUCUUUGAACGCAAGUUGCGCCCGAGGCUCGUACCGAGGGCAUGCCUGUCUGAGCGUCCA
rnacentral:rRNA from 1 species